AGAUUGAACGCUGGCGGCAUGCCUUACACAUGCAAGUCGAACGGCAGCACGGGGGCAACCCUGGUGGCGAGUGGCGAACGGGUGAGUAAUGCAUCGGAACGUGCCCAGUAGUGGGGGGAUAACUAGUCGAAAGAUUAGCUAAUACCGCAUACGACCUAUGGGUGAAAGCGGGGGAUUCGCAAGAACCUCGCGCUAUCGGAGCGGCCGAUGUCUGAUUAGCUAGUUGGCGGGUAAAAGCCCACCAAGGCUUCGAUCAGUAGCUGGUCUGAGAGGACGACCAGCCACACUGGGACUGAGACACGGCCCAGACUCCUACGGGAGCAGCAGUGGGAAUUUUGGACAAGUGGGCGACGAAGCCUGAUCCAGCCAUCGCCGCGUGCGGGAAGAACGGCCCUCGGUUACGUAAACCGUCGUUUUAGGCGAAGGAACCGAAACGGCGACGAGCCGAAUACGUCGUCGACGUUAAUCGAACCGGUACC
rnacentral:rRNA from 1 species